rnacentral:rRNA from 1 species
UGACGUUACCUACAGAAGAAGCACCGGCUAACUCCGUGCCAGCAGCCGCGGUAAUACGGAGGGUGCGAGCGUUAAUCGGAAUUACUGGGCGUAAAGCGCGCGUAGGCGGUUUAGUAAGUCGGAUGUGAAGCCCUGGGCUCACCUGGGAAUCGCAUUCGAACUGCUUGACUGGAGUACGGGCACGGAACGGAUUUCGGUGUUUCGGUGAAUGCGUGAAUCGGAGGGACAUCCUGCGAAGCGACUUCCUGACCAUUCUGACCGACGUGCGA